AUUGAACGCUGGCGGCAGGCCUAACACAUGCAAGUCGAGCGGAUGAAGAGAGCUUGCUCUCUGAUUUAGCGGCGGACGGGUGAGUAAUGCCUAGGAAUCUGCCUGGUAGUGGGGGAUAACGUUCCGAAAGGAACGCUCAUACCUCAUACGUCCUACGGGAGAAAGCAGGGGACCUUCGGGCCUUGCGCUAUCAGAUGAGCCUAGGUCGGAUUAGCUAGUUGGUGAGGUAAUGGCUCACCGAGGCGACGAUCCGUAACUGGUCUGAGAGGAUGAUCAGUCACACUGGAACUGAGACACGGUCCAGACUCCUACGGGAGGCAGCAGUGGGGAAUAUUGGACAAUGGGCGAAAGCCUGAUCCAGCCAUGCCGCGUGUGUGAAGAAGGUCUUCGGAUUGUAAAGCACUUUAAGUUGGGAGGAAGGGCAGUAAGUUAAUACCUUGCUGUUUUGACGUUACCGACAGAAUAAGCACCGGCUAACUCUGUGCCAGCAGCCGCCGUAAUAC
rnacentral:rRNA from 1 species